UGCAGAAUGAUGCAGCCUGAGAUGUGGGAACAUGUAUUUAAACCCACGUCAAGAUUUUGCCAAAGCCCUUUUUCCAUUCUCUGCAGCCUCUUACCUUUGCAGAAAUUGGGCUCCAAAGUCAGAUAACCUUGGAGUGAAUCCUGGCUUCACAAGAAUGUGCACUUCAGAUGGUGCCUGGCUCUCAGACAGCAGCCACCACAGAAAAUUUUGGCUUUGAAGUGAGAAUCAGAGGACACAGAGGAAAAAUAGAGAUGCUGAAUGUUGGUUCCACUGUCAAGCUGGGGAAAUGAUAUAUACCUCUCUCCAUUCCCACAACAUAGGAGAAAUGAGGGGCAAAACAGCAUUCCAGGAGUGGACUAAAUGUAUAAAAGAAGAGCAAAGGAAAUCGGAGAAAAGAAGAGAUUUGUUGUAGUCAUUGCUCUGCCCUCUUUUCCAUUGUGGGACAAAGGGCCAGCCUCAGUUUUCCCACCUAUACAGUGGGGAUACUGUUGGACUACAUCUGCAAGGAUGAUUUCAGUUUUCAGGUUAUAGGUUUUUUUGUUGUUGUUUUAUUCCUGGGUCCCCUUGUCACUGCUCAAGAUGCCAGCUUGGCAGCUGAGGCCAGUAAAAAGAAGAGUAGGGAGUGGUUUAGUCUCUCCAUUGGAAGGAAGAAGGAAGGAACGAUUGUGGCCCAUCUCUAUAGCCUUGUGCUGACUUAGAGUGUCUCAUCCCAUCAAACGCAUGGGUCAUGAAGUUCAAUUCAUUAAUUUUGGUGGUGGAGGGAGGCUGACAGACUUGGUGCUGACAUGAAUAAUGAUGGGUCACCGGGAGAGGCCCCAGCAAAACCUGCAGCUUAAUCAGACUCAGAGAGUCUCUGCGGGCAUUAAUGUAGGCCAAGUGCUUUCCAGCCAAUCAGACCCCAUUUCAAUUUAAUGUUGCAAAUUGUUACCACGCAGCUCAGCCUCUCAACGCACAACUCAGACUCAAAAGUGGGUUACUCAUCUGUUCCCUUUUCCUGUUCAUUUGGAAACACCUCCCUGAUUAUUGUCUGUGUGACAGUUUGCAGCAAAGGAGGUGGAUAAAGUAUGGUGGCAAGAAUUCACACCGGGUUAUGUAAGGGGAGCGGGUGUCCCUGCUCCAUCACUUUCUAUUCACAUUUCUAAAGCCAUGCUUUGCUUGCUUGUAAAGGUCUGCUGUGUCUCCAUCGCCUGCAGGAUAAAAUCCAAGCCUUUAUCAUCAAAAUUCUUUAGCCUUACCACCCACAGUGCUUCCCCAGGCAUUCUCUGCCACAGCCACAACAAACCACUUCCACUCCCUAAAACAUGCUGUGCCCUUGCAUCUUGAAGCCUCCUUGUGCUUGCAUAUGUUGUGCCCUCUGUCUGAAACGUCUGCCUUAGCUCCCCUCUGUUUUCUCUGCCUCACCUGUAUUUUCCAGUGUCACCCCAGAAAAAGACACACCAAAGUAGUAGAUCCUGAAGGGAUAGGGAUCGUCUAUUUCACUUCUUGCCUAGAGUAGAUAUACAAAGGUAGAAUAAAUGAAUGAAAGAAUCAGUAUAUAACUUUGGCCAAGACAUUUCAAGUUUCUGACUCUUCUUUUUCUUAGAUACAAAAUAAUAAAAAUAGCUCUUUCACAGAUAUUAUUGUGGCCAGUGACGGAAGGCUUUUCAGCCCUUCCACCCUCCCAGUACCUCUGAGAGCCUUCUUUGGAUGAAAUUGUCCAUGUAAGCUCCUGACCUCAAAAAUGCUCCCCUUAGCUCCUGGGGCUUCACCUCUCUGUAGCUCAGGUUUCUCAGAUGCAAAAUGUGUGUACUGAAGCAUGAAUGGUUGGAAAGAUUAAAAGCAUGUAUUCACUCAUCCCUGCUUUCAGUAUAUACAACCAAUGUAUAAGCCAAAAAUAAAAUUCUAAGGCCCCCCUCAACCAUCUGAAUGGACCCCUCCUCUCGGCCAAGGGCAUUUCAAAGUUAACCUGAAAAACUAGUUCAGGCCAUGAUGGGAAGGGGAGGUCAGACAUACCUCAUUAUGCCCUCCUCCCUUUGGGAAUUUGGGAAAAACCAACCAGCAUUAACAUCAGCACAGACCAUAGAUCUAAUAAGAAACGUAUACAAUCUGUUUUCUCUGAAGCCUGCUACCUAGAGGCUUCAUCUGCAUUAUAAAACCUUGG
rnacentral:lncRNA from 1 species